AAAUUGAAGAGUUUGAUCAUGGCUCAGAUUGAACGCUGGCGGCAGGCCUAACACAUGCAAGUCGAACGGUAACAGGAAGCAGCUUGCUGCUUUGCUGACGAGUGGCGGACGGGUGAGUAAUGUCUGGGAAACUGCCUGAUGGAGGGGGAUAACUACUGGAAACGGUAGCUAAUACCGCAUAACGUCGCAAGACCAAAGAGGGGGACCUUAGGGCCUCUUGCCAUCGGAUGUGCCCAGAUGGGAUUAGCUAGUAGGUGGGGUAACGGCUCACCUAGGCGACGAUCCCUAGCUGGUCUGAGAGGAUGACCAGCCACACUGGAACUGAGACACGGUCCAGACUCCUACGGGAGGCAGCAGUGGGGAAUAUUGCACAAUGGGCGCAAGCCUGAUGCAGCCAUGCCGCGUGUAUGAAGAAGGCCUUCGGGUUGUAAAGUACUUUCAGCGGGGAGGAAGGGAGUAAAGUUAAUACCUUUGCUCAUUGACGUUACCCGCAGAAGAAGCACCGGCUAACUCCGUGCCAGCAGCCGCGGUAAUACGGAGGGUGCAAGCGUUAAUCGGAAUUACUGGGCGUAAAGCGCACGCAGGCGGUUUGUUAAGUCAGAUGUGAAAUCCCCGGGCUCAACCUGGGAACUGCAUCUGAUACUGGCAAGCUUGAGUCUCGUAGAGGGGGGUAGAAUUCCAGGUGUAGCGGUGAAAUGCGUAGAGAUCUGGAGGAAUACCGGUGGCGAAGGCGGCCCCUGGACGAAGACUGACGCUCAGGUGCGAAAGCGUGGGGAGCAAACAGGAUUAGAUACCCUGGUAGUCCACGCCGUAAACGAUGUCGACUUGGAGGUUGUGCCCUUGAGGCGUGGCUUCCGGAGCUAACGCGUUAAGUCGACCGCCUGGGGAGUACGGCCGCAAGGUUAAAACUCAAAUGAAUUGACGGGGGCCCGCACAAGCGGUGGAGCAUGUGGUUUAAUUCGAUGCAACGCGAAGAACCUUACCUGGUCUUGACAUCCACGGAAGUUUUCAGAGAUGAGAAUGUGCCUUCGGGAACCGUGAGACAGGUGCUGCAUGGCUGUCGUCAGCUCGUGUUGUGAAAUGUUGGGUUAAGUCCCGCAACGAGCGCAACCCUUAUCCUUUGUUGCCAGCGGUCCGGCCGGGAACUCAAAGGAGACUGCCAGUGAUAAACUGGAGGAAGGUGGGGAUGACGUCAAGUCAUCAUGGCCCUUACGACCAGGGCUACACACGUGCUACAAUGGCGCAUACAAAGAGAAGCGACCUCGCGAGAGCAAGCGGACCUCAUAAAGUGCGUCGUAGUCCGGAUUGGAGUCUGCAACUCGACUCCAUGAAGUCGGAAUCGCUAGUAAUCGUGGAUCAGAAUGCCACGGUGAAUACGUUCCCGGGCCUUGUACACACCGCCCGUCACACCAUGGGAGUGGGUUGCAAAAGAAGUAGGUAGCUUAACCUUCGGGAGGGCGCUUACCACUUUGUGAUUCAUGACUGGGGUGAAGUCGUAACAAGGUAACCGUAGGGGAACCUGCGGUUGGAUCACCUCCUUA
rnacentral:rRNA from 1 species